UGCCUGAUGGGAGAAAUGCAACACCUAUUUCAAAUGCCUCUCAUAAAGAGGCUAUAGUUUCUGUUUCUAUAACUUUAAGAAUCAAAUGGGACAAGAUGGAGAAAACAGAGUGAAGAUUAGAGGAAGACAAGAUGAUCAAGGGAUCUUUCUUUAUGAAACUAUUGUAGUCAUUGUCUUGCAAGAAUUGCCAGAUCCUGGAUCUAAAGCUGGAAGAGACCACUGAGUUAAACCAGUCCAAAUCCCAACUUUAUACAUGAGGAAGAUGAGGCUUAGGCAAGCUAAGUGACUUUCUUGUAGUGAUACAGAUAAUAAAUAUCAGAGGUAGAGUUUGAACCCAGAUU